rnacentral:misc_RNA from 1 species
AAGUCGUAACAAGGUUUCCGUAGGUGAACCUGCGGAAGGAUCAUUAACACGUAUCCAAACGUUAAACCCCCCUGUGAACCUUCACCUGUACUCGUACGUCCGUUAGAAAAAGCAGCAAUCCCUGGUAAAUCAUCGCCGAACAGUUUUCGAUUCAGGGAUGUCUGCAAGGAGCGUGCAUGUUGUGCGAGCAAGUGGCCUGGCAUCCCCAAGCAGUUAGUGUCUGAAAGUGUCAUUAACUGUGUAAGGAUGACGCAGUCACGAUCGUUGGAGGCCCACACGGCCGACGACCGGGUCACUGGGCGCAAGCCCCCAAUCGCGGCCGCGAUAAUACGCAGUCGACCAAAAACCGAACAACUGUUAACAAUGGAUAUCUUGGUUCUC